ACAUGCCUACAUCAUAGUGUUAAUGCAUCAGAUCCCAUUAGAACUCUGCAAUUAAGCACGCUCAGGCUAGAGUAGUGUUGGGAUGGGUGACCACCCGAGAAGUCCUAGUGUUUUACAUGGC
rnacentral:rRNA from 1 species